UUGAAGAUUCUGAGUAAAAUCUGGUAGCUUCCCACUGAAUUGGUUGCCUUCAA
rnacentral:sRNA from 1 species